rnacentral:rRNA from 1 species
UACAGGGGGGGCAAGCGUUGUCCGGAUUUACUGGGCGUAAAGAGCGCGCAGGCGGUCGAUCAAGUCGCGUGUGAAAGCCCCCCGGCUCAACUGGGGAGGGUCACGCGAUACUGAUCGACUCGAAGGCAGGAGAGGGUAGUGGAAUUCCCGGUGUAGUGGUGAAAUGCGUAGAUAUCGGGAGGAACACCAGUGGCGAAGGCGACUACCUGGCCUGUUCUUGACGCUGAGGCGCGAAAAGCUAGGGGAGCAAACGGGG